GCGAGCACUUUUGUACAUGAUGGUUGUUUUUUUUUCGUAAAACCGCUGUAAAAUUGGCCAAUUUUAUUCACAAAAUCCUUGCUGAGUCGUUUAACAAGUUCUGUUUACAACCUUUGCACAACAAAUCAACAUAUGAUCUCUCUAAUAGGUAACUCAAUUCAAACAACCAUCAUGUACAAAAGUGCUCGCNAAGACACAUCACAGCAACUCCACCAAAGUUCUGGACGCUCAGAGAGUUGCAAGGUCUUCACUCUUUAUCACAGUGUUCAGUUCACACCAGACGACUUCACAGUUCAAGCAAUAGUACAAUCAGCCAAGCUUACGCUUAGCUGAAGCUACAUACUUAGGUUUUUGAUGUUGAAGUUUCAGAACCCUUGGAAAGCAUCUUUGAUUUGAUGGGUAUGGUGCUCGUGGCAUCAUCUUCAAGAUCACUGAAAGAUAUGUCUUCUUCAUUUCCUGCAGGGAAU
rnacentral:misc_RNA from 1 species